rnacentral:rRNA from 1 species
AGAGUUUGAUCCUGGCUCAGGACGAACGCUGGCGGCGUGCUUAACACAUGCAAGUCGAACGGGGAUUAUUGGAAUGAGAGCUUCGGCAGGAUUUCCGGUAAUUCUAGUGGCGGACGGGUGAGUAACGCGUGAGCAACCUGUCCCAGACAGGGGGAUAACACUUGGAAACAGGUGCUAAUACCGCAUAAGACCACAGCAUCACAUGGUGCAGGGGUAAAAGGUGGAAACCGGUUUGGGGUGGGCUCGCGUCCGAUUAGAUAGUUGGUGAGGUAACGGCCCACCAAGUCGACGAUCGGUAGCCGACCUGAGAGGGUGAUCGGCCACAUUGGAACUGAGAGACGGUCCAAACUCCUACGGGAGGCAGCAGUGGGGAAUAUUGGGCAAUGGGCGAAAGCCUGACCCAGCAACGCCGCGUGAGUGAAGAAGGCCUUCGGGUUGUAAAGCUCUGUUAUAGUUGACGAAGGAAGUGACGGUAGGCUAUAAGGAAGCCCCGGCUAACUACGUGCCAGCGGCCGCGGUAAUACGUACGGGGCGAGCGUUGUCCGGAAUGACUGGGCGUAAAGGGCGUGUACGCGGUUCUUUAAGUUUGGAGUGAAAGUCCUGGAUUCAAUUUGGGAAUUGCUUUGAAUACUGGAGAACUUGAGUGCGGAAGAGGUAAGUGGAAUUCCCAGCGUAGCGGUGAAAUGCGUAGAGAUUGGGAGGAACACCAGUGGCGAAGGCGACUUACUGGGCCGUAACUGACGCUGAGGCGCGAAAGCGUGGGGAGCGAACAGGAUUAGAUACCCUGGUAGUCCACGCGGUAAACGAUGAAUGCUAGGUGUUGCGGGUAUCGACCCCUGCAGUGCCGGAGUAAACACAAUAAGCAUUCCGCCUGGGGAGUACGGCCGCAAGGUUGAAACUCAAAGGAAUUGACGGGGGCCCGCACAAGCAGCGGAGCAUGUUGUUUAAUUCGAAGCAACGCGAAGAGCCUUACCAGGUCUUGACAUCCGAUUAAAGCCAUAGAGAUAUGGUGUACCUUCGGGAGAAUCGAGACAGGUGGUGCAUGGUUGUCGUCAGCUCGUGUCGUGAGAUGUUGGGUUAAGUCCCGCAACGAGCGCAACCCUUAUGGUCAGUUACUAACACGUAGAGGUGAGGACUCUGACAAGACUGCCGGGGACAACUCGGAGGAAGGUGGGGACGACGUCAAAUCAUCAUGCCCCUUAUGACCUGGGCUACAAACGUGCUACAAUGGUGACAACAAAGAGGAGCGAGACCGUAAGGUGGAGCGGAUCUCAAAAAAGUCAUCCCAGUUCGGAUUGUGGGCUGCAACCCGCCCACAUGAAGUUGGAGUUGCUAGUAAUCGCGGAUCAGCAUGCCGCGGGAAUACGUUCCCGAGCCUGUACACACCGCCCGUCAAGGAUAAUUCGCGGCGG